rnacentral:rRNA from 1 species
ACGGUAACCGGAGAAGAAGCCCCGGCUAACUUCGUGCCAGCAGCCGCGGUAAUACGAAGGGGGCUAGCGUUGUUCGGAAUUACUGGGCGUAAAGCGCACGUAGGCGGGUAUUUAAGUCAGGGGUGAAAUCCCGGAGCUCAACUCCGGAACUGCCUUUGAUACUGGGUACCUAGAGUAUGGAAGAGGUAAGUGGAAUUCCGAGUGUAGAGGUGAAAUUCGUAGAUAUUCGGAGGAACACCAGUGGCGAAGGCGGCUUACUGGUCCAUUACUGACGCUGAGGUGCGAAAGCGUGGGGAGCAAACAGGAUUAGAUACCCUG